rnacentral:tRNA from 1 species
GGGGUUGUAGCUCAGUGGUUGAGCACUUGUCUAAGCAUAAGUGAGGCACUGGGUUCAAUCCUCAGCACCCCA